CUACGGGUUGCACCAGUGAGGAAUUUUGCGCAAUGGGGGAAACCCUGACGCAGCAACGCCGCGUGAGUGAAGAAGGCCCUUGGGUCGUAAAGCUCUGUCAAUGGGGAAGAAGUUACUUGGUAUUAAUAGUGCCUUGUAUUGACGGUACCCAUGAAGGAAGCACCGGCUAACUCCGUGCCAGCAGCCGCGGUAAUACGGGGGGUGCAAGCGUUAUUCGGAAUUAUUGGGCGUAAAGGGCACGCAGGCGGUCCUGUCAGUCAGAUGUGAAAGCCCGGGGCUCAACCCCGGACGUGCAUUUGAAACAGCAGGACUUGAGUACGGGAGAGGAAAGGGGAAUUCCUGGUGUAGAGGUGAAAUUCGUAGAUAUCAGGAGGAACACCGGUGGCGAAGGCGCCUUUCUGGACCGAUACUGACGCUGAGGUGCGAAGGCGUGGGUAGCGAACGGGAUUAGAUACCCCUGUAGUC
rnacentral:rRNA from 1 species